CGUGUAGGCGGCUUGGUAAGUCAGAUGUGAAAUCCCUGGGCUCAACCCAGGAAGUGCAUUUGAUACUGCCUUGCUUGAGUACGGGAGGGGAAGUGGAAUUCCUGGUGUAGAGGUGAAAUUCGUAGAUAUCAGGAGGAACACCGGUGGCGAAGGCGACUUCCUGGUCCGAUACUGACGCUGAGACGCGAGAGCGUGGGGAGCAAACAG
rnacentral:rRNA from 1 species